rnacentral:rRNA from 1 species
GACGAACGCUGGCGGCGUGCCUAAUACAUGCAAGUCGAACGCAGUUGCGAACGGGUGAGUAACGCGUAGGUAACUGCCUCAUAGCGGGGGAUAACUAUUGGAAACGAUAGCUAAUACCGCAUACUGUGAGAUGGACCUGCGUUGUAUUUGCUGGGUGGUGAGGUAAAGGCGCGCCAAGGCGACGAUACAUAGCCGACCUGAGAGGGUGGUCGGCCAGCCUGGGACUGGGGACCGGCCCAGACUGCUUCUGGAGGCAGCAAGAGGGAAUCUGCGGGCAUGGGCGGAAGGCUGACCGGGGAACGCCGCGUGAGUGAAGAAGGUUUUCGGAUCGUAAAGCUCUGUUGUUGGAGAAGCGGUACCUAACCAGAAAGGGACGGCUAACUACGUGCCAGCAGCCGCGGUAAUUC